rnacentral:snoRNA from 1 species
GUGCCACAAUGAUGACAUCAUAUUUGCUACUCUUGACAGCUGGGGUGACGAUAGCUUUAAACCACCAUGAUUAUAACUGAGGCAC